rnacentral:rRNA from 1 species
AUUGAACGCUGGCGGCAGGCCUAACACAUGCAAGUCGAGCGAGCGGCGGACGGGUGAGUAAUGUCUGGGCAACUGCCUGAUGGAGGCGGAUAACUACUGGAACCGGUAGCUAAUACCGCAUACCAUCAGAUGUGCCCAGAUGGGAUUAGGUAGUCGGUGGGGUAAUGGCUCACCUAGGCGACGCUCCCUAGCUGGUCUGAGAGGAUGACCAGCCACACUGGAACUGAGACACGGUCCAGACUCCUACGGGAGGCAGCAGUGGGGAAUAUUUCACAAUUGGCGCAAGCCUGAUGCAGCCAUGCCGCGUGUGUGAAGAAGGCCUUCGGGUUGUAAAGCACUUUCAGCGAGGAGGCGUUACUCGCAGAAGAAGCACCGGCUAACUCCGUGCCAGCAGCCGCGGUAAUUC